CCCAGAAUCCUCUGCCUUCACCUCCCUCCACCAGAACUGACACAUAGCCGAGCCCUAAGAAUGGACAUUCUGACAGUUACAGCCAUUGAGUAGCCAAGGUGGCCUGUGCUGAAUGCUGAGGGAAUGGAGACCCAAUCCCCGAAGAAGGAAGGGAAGACAGCAAUGACAGAGUACGAUUGACAGGAAGACAAUCUCCUUGCGGAAAAUCUCAAAUGUGUCAUAUCUUGAUGGAGAUGCUUUAUUUCGUGGAUGCUCAAGCUCAGAGGUUGCCACCAGGAGUCCUGCCAAGGCUUUGAAAUAAACAAGGAAUAGGACUGGAUGCA
rnacentral:lncRNA from 1 species